GAAACAGUGAGACCUUGCUUGCUUCCUUGUAGGAAGGAUUGUAUUAUGACCCCAUACAGUGACUGGACACCAUGUCCCUCUUCAUGCAGAGAAGGGGACUCUGGAGCCAGGAAGCAGUCUCGACAGCGCGUCAUCAUUCAGCUGCCAGCCUAUGGAGGCAGGGAAUGCUCAGACCCACUCUAUGAAGAAAAGGCCUGCGAGGCCCCUCCCACAUGUCACAGCUACAGGUGGAAGACACACAAAUGGCGCCGGUGCCAGUUAGUCCCUUGGAGCAUUCAACAGGAUGUCCCUGGAGCACAGGAAGGCUGCGGGCCUGGACGGCAGGCAAGAGCCAUUACUUGUCGAAAGCAAGAUGGAGGGCAGGCUAGCAUCCAGGAGUGCCUCCAGUAUGCAGGCCCUGUGCCAGCCCUGACCCAGGCUUGCCAGAUCCCCUGCCAAGAUGACUGUCAAUUUACCAGCUGGUCCAAGUUUUCUUCAUGCAACGGAGACUGCGGUGCAGUUAGGACCAGAAAGCGUGCUAUUGUUGGUAAGAAUAA
rnacentral:lncRNA from 1 species